rnacentral:rRNA from 1 species
UACGAAGGGGGCUAGCGUUGCUCGGAAUCACUGGGCGUAAAGCGCACGUAGGCGGAUCUUUAAGUCAGAGGUGAAAUCCCCGAGCUCAACUCCGGAACUGCCUUUGAUACUGAGGACCUUGAGUCCGGGAGAGGUGAGUGGAACUGCGAGUGUAGAGGUGAAAUUCGUAGAUAUUCGCAAGAACACCAGUGGCGAAGGCGGCUCACUGGCCCGGUACUGACGCUGAGGUGCGAAAGCGUGGGGAGCAAACAGG